rnacentral:rRNA from 1 species
CUACGGGAGGCAGCAGUGGGGAAUUUUGGACAAUGGAGGAAACUCUGAUCCAGGGAUACCGCGUGUAUGAAGAAGGCCUUCGGGUUGUAAAGUACUUUCAGCGGGGAGGAAGGGAGUAAAGUUAAUACCUUUGCUCAUUGACGUUACCCGCAGAAGAAGCACCGGCUAACUCCGUGCCAGCAGCCGCGGUAAUACGGAGGGUGCAAGCGUUAAUCGGAAUUACUGGGCGUAAAGCGCACGCAGGCGGUUUGUUAAGUCAGAUGUGAAAUCCCCGGGCUCAACCUGGGAACUGCAUCUGAUACUGGCAAGCUUGAGUCUCGUAGAGGGGGGUAGAAUUCCAGGUGUAGCGGUGAAAUGCGUAGAGAUCUGGAGGAAUACCGGUGGCGAAGGCGGCCCCCUGGACGAAGACUGACGCUCAGGUGCGAAAGCGUGGGGAGCAAACAGGAUUAGAUACCCUAGUAGUC